rnacentral:rRNA from 1 species
UUCGUAGGUGGUGCGGCAAGUUGGAAGUGAAAUCUCUGGGCUUAACUCAGAGGCUGCUUUCAAAACUGCCGUGCUCGAGUGCGAGAGAGGUCAGUGGAAUUGCAGGUGUAGCGGUGAAAUGCGUAGAUAUCUGCAGGAACACCCGUGGCGAAGGCGGCUGACUGGAUCGCAACUGACACUGAGGAACGAAAGCUAGGGGAGCAAACAGGAUUAGAUACCCUGGUAGUCCUAGCCCUAAACCAUCAGAACUUGGGGUGGCCCGCGUAGGCGGGUCGUCCCGUAGCUAACGCGUUAAGUUCUGCGCCUGGGGAGUACGGUCGCAAGACUGAA